GUACCCGAAAAAAAAAAAGGUGGUCGG
rnacentral:sRNA from 1 species